rnacentral:rRNA from 1 species
GUCUCAGGCCGUAUCAGCCUGAAGGCGCCCGAUCUCGUCUGAUCUCGGAAGCUAAGCAGGGUCGGGCCUGGUUAGGAUCUUGGAUA